ACACAUGUUGCCGGUGAGGAAACGAGUGAUGCAACCUUUAUGAAAGUUUUUACCUUGCAAUGAGCCGUUUUCUUUGAAUUCGCGGUUAGCAAUAAUAUUUCUGGGUCUUAAGUGUGUAAAAUACAUGCAAGAUGAGUCAAUCUCUGCCAACAACAAACAUCAGUUUUCCUAAUGAGGAGGAAAAAAUCCUGAAAUACUGGAAAGAAAUAGAUGCCUUCCGUUCAUCAUUAAAGCAAUCAAAAGGCAAACCAAGGUACACAUUUUAUGAUGGACCCCCGUUUGCAACGGGCCUGCCUCAUUAUGGACACAUUCUGGCGGGGACCAUCAAGGAUGUGGUGACACGCUGGGCCCACCAAACUGGGUACCACGUGGAGAGGAGGUUCGGAUGGGACUGUCACGGUCUGCCUGUGGAAUAUGAGAUCGACAAAACACUGGGUAUCAAAGGCCCCGAGGAUGUGGAGAAGAUGGGGAUAGCGGCUUACAACGCAGAGUGCAGGAAGAUUGUGAUGAGAUACUCCACAGAGUGGGAGGAAAUAGUGACCCGACUCGGUCGCUGGAUAGACUUUGAGAACGACUACAAGACCAUGUACCCCACCUUCAUGGAGAGCAUCUGGUGGGUGUUCAAGGAGCUAUACAACCGGGGACUAGUUUACAAAGGGUCAAAGGUCAUGCCCUUUUCCACGGCCUGCAACACCCCACUGUCCAACUUUGAGUCCGGACAGAAUUACAAGGAUGUGGUGGACCCAGCAGUCAUUGUGAACUUUCCCCUCUUGGAUGACCCUAACGUGUGCAUCAUCGCCUGGACAACCACACCUUGGACAUUGCCUAGCAACCUGUCAGUGUGUGUGAACCCUGACCUGGACUAUGUCAAGGUCAAAGACAAAUCUACAGGAAAAGUUUACAUCAUGAUGGAGGCACGGCUGGUUUCUCUGUUCAAGAAUGAAGAUGAAUACACAAUUCUAGAGAGGUUUAAAGGAAAGACCCUAGAGGGAAAGAAAUAUGAGCCCAUUUUCCCAUAUUUUAAACAUAUGAGAGAGCAGACCAACGCCUUCAGGGUCCUUGUAGAUGACUAUGUCACAGCGGAGAGUGGUACAGGGAUUGUCCACCAAGCUCCUUACUUUGGAGAGAGACAUGAAGAUCAUCUGUCCCGUUGACGCUUCUGGAAAGUUCACCAGUGAUGUCACAGACUUCAAAGGCCAAUAUGUCAAGGAAGCAGACAAGCACAUCAUAAAACACCUGAAGGGGAAUGGCCGUCUGGUGCAUCAGUCCACCUUCAAACAUAGCUACCCAUUCUGCUGGAGAUCGGAGACUCCACUAAUCUACAAAGCGGUGCCGAGUUGGUUUGUGCGAGUGGAGCAGGCUACCACACAACUGUUGGAGAAUAACCAGAAGACAUACUGGGUGCCUGAUUUUGUGAAAGAGAAGAGAUUUGCUAACUGGCUGCGAGAGGCACGUGAUUGGGCGAUAUCGCGUAACAGGUACUGGGGGACACCCAUUCCUCUCUGGAUCAGCGAAGAUGGAGAAGAGGUUGUGUGUGUUGGGUCGGUGGAAGAGUUGAAGAAGCUGUCUGGAGUGGAGGUCAAGGACCUUCAUCGGGAAUCAGUGGAUGGUAUCACAAUUCCUUCCAAACUCGGGAAAGGAGUUUUGAGACGGACCCCGGAAGUGUUUGACUGUUGGUUUGAGAGUGGAAGCAUGCCCUACGCCCAGGUUCACUAUCCCUUCGAGAAAAAGAAGGAGUUUGAUGACACCUUCCCCGCCGACUUCAUUGCUGAGGGCAUAGAUCAGACCAGAGGAUGGUUCUACACUCUACUGGUUCUGUCCACAUUGCUGUUUGGGAAACCUCCAUUCAAGAAUCUCAUUGUCAACGGAAUUGUCCUGGCAGAAGAUGGUAACAAGAUGAGCAAGAGAUUAAAGAACUACCCAGACCCAAUGCUGAUUGUACACAAGUAUGGUGCUGAUGCUCUCAGGCUGUACCUGUGUAACUCCCCCGCGGUGAAGGCUGAGGGUCUGAAGUUUAAGGAGGAGGGGGUAGAGAGAGUACUAAAGGACGUGUUCCUGCCCUGGUACAACGCCUACAGAUUCUUCAUGCAAAACGUGGACCGCUAUCAAACGGAGGAGGGUCUGGAGUUCCUUUACAAUGAGAACAAGCUCACCAAGCGCUCCAAUUACAAGGACCGAUGGAUUAUCUCCCUUGCCCAGUCACUCAUCAAGUUUGUCCGAGUGGAGAUGCAGGCAUAUCGCCUAUACACAGUGAUGCCAAGACUUGUCAAAUUUGUGGACCAGCUCACAAACUGGUAUGUCAGGAUGAACAGAAAGAGGCUAAAGGGAGAGGGAGGACCAGAGGACUGUAAGGAAGCUCUGGAGACAUUGUUCUCUGUUCUGAUGACCAUGAUCAGGCUCAUGGCGCCGAUGAUUCCGUACAUCACAGAGAACAUGUUCCAGAGUCUGAGACAGCUGAUUGACCCCGAGUCUGUGGGGACACAGGACAUCCGCAGUGUCCACUUCCUGAUGAUCCCCUCUUACAGGGAGGAUCUGAUAGAUGUCUCCAUAGAGACGGCAGUGUCCCGCAUGCAGUCAGUCAUAGAACUGGGUCGUGUGACCAGAGAGAGAAACACCCUCCCCCUCAAGUACCCCCUCAAAGAGGUGGUGGCCAUCCACCGAGACCCCGAGGCCCUGAAUGAUAUCAAGUCCCUCCAGUCCUACAUCAUGGAGGAGCUCAACGUCCGAGAGGUCAAGGUCACUCAGGACAAAUCCAGCUACGGUGCCCACCUGGUGGCGGAGGCCGACUUCAAGACGCUGGGAGCCAAGCUAAAGGGAGCAGUGAAAACCAUUGCUAAAGCUGUGAAGGAAUUAACAGACUCCCAGCUUGAAGAGUACCAGAGAACAGGGGAGAUCACUGUGGCUGGUCACACACUGGGAGAGGGCGACCUGAAGCUGAUGUACAAGUUUGACAGCAGCAAGGAGGGGGCCAAAAGUUCCUACGACGCCCACUCUGACAAAGAGGUAUUGGUGUUGAUAGAUAUAGUCCCCGACCAGAGCAUGUUGGAUGAGGGCGUGGCCAGAGAGGUCAUCAACAGAGUCCAGAAACUACGACAAAAGGGAGGACUAGUGCCAUCAGACAAGAUCACCGUGUAUUACAAAGCCUCUGAGAAUCUGGAUAAAAUCAUCAAAGAAUUCAGCGACUACAUCGGUAAUGCCAUCAAACAGCCACUUGUUCCAUUCCCUGUCCCUGCAUCAGAGACGGUCUACAUCCAGGAGAGUAUGGACGUGAAGAAAGAUAAGCUGGAGAUGGCUAUUGUGAAACAGGGUGGGGAGUCCAGUGGCGCCAGCACCACUGUUACCUUCCUGCCCCCCGCCCCAGCAAAGGCAGCCCCCUACUGCAAGUUUGUGAACGUGGUUCUGGUGGGAAUGCCUUCACAGGAAGGAGUGGAGGGAAAUCAGGCCACAGUCCUCCUGGAGAAUCCCUCAGGGAACGGAGUCAAGGACAUCCAGACACUGACCGACCAGAUCAAAUCUGUUUUUGGAGUACGAGGAAGAAGGGUGGUAUUGUAUACCGAUGCUGGACUGAAAAACGAGCUUCCAUCCACCACCAAACCAGACACACUGUCGGGUCAGACUUUGUAUGUUGGGCCCAUGGUGGGGACACAGGGAGUCCAGUACACAGCAGUGGCGACACCUGUCUGUCAUUUUGUGAACGUGGAGAAUUCAAAAGGAGGCAGUAAGAAGGGGACACUACUUUUAGAAAAUCCCCGAGGAAACACCUUUAACGUGGAUCAGCUUCUUGCACAGGUAUCAGCAGUUUAUAAUUUAAAUGGAAAGAAUGUCACAUUAAGUCGUACAAAGGACAAGGCAGGGGCAGUAACUCCAGACAGUGUUAAGAACCUCCUAGAUUUACAUGGCUCAACACUACAGCUUCUGGUGCAAUAACAGCAGGACAUCUAGAGAUUUCAUAGACAUUUAAAAUCACAAACCAUGCAGUGCUAUUUAUGUAAACAUUAAUUAUAAAAUACUGGAAGUGUAACGUCCUGAUACUAUUAUGAUUUUCAGUGUCUUGUCACUGUGUGAUUAAUAAAGAGUGGAAUACAUA
rnacentral:misc_RNA from 1 species